AGACUAAGGGUAAUUGUACCCUUGGCUUUGGGUGUUUUCCAAAAAAAAUUUGGAGAUGGCCGACUCGUCAACUUCUUCAAUGUCUUUCUCAUCUCAAACAAAUCAAAACCCUAAUCCCUCACCCACCAGUCCAUCACCGCCCUCAUGUCUCCCACCACUAUCGUUCGCCGCCAACCCACACCAGCGGAGAAACCGUGACAACUAGAUGAACGGUUGCAUUGGAGCAGACGCAACGACAACUUUUAGGGUUCAUGUGCGCAUCUCCUCGCCGGGAUUCGGUGCAUUUUUGGUCCAGCUUUUCUAAUUAGGCAUAUUUAUGUUACGAGAGGGUAGUUGUAGUUUUGAUGUUGAUGGCUUCCAUCCUCUCAACAUUGGCAAACUUGCUAUGAAAGGCAAAGACACACUCUUUCUUCCCUACACCCCAGAGGUAACAUAUGCCUUUUUAUAACUUAAUUACAUAUGUUAAGAUAUUUCUGUGUUUAGUGUUUUGGGGUUCUUAGAACCCACCCUAUAUGGAUGCCCAAAACCGAUCUGCCAUUGACGUCAAGCAAAGCUGCCAAGUGGCGUGCGUGUGCAAAAGAAAGAUUAGAUAUUUACAUAACAUUAAAAGAUCUUUAUAUGUUGAAUCUUAAAUGUUCAUAUCGCGGGGAUUUGUUAUUGUGAAAGAACUUGAGCAACUUGAGCGCCAACUUGAAUUUACUUUGAGUCAAAUUUGGUGCAUAAGGGUAUGUUUAGUGUGUUUCUACUAGCUAUAUAAUCUGAGGAGGUGUUUGAAUGAUUCAUCUCGGAUAUGGAUGGCGGGGAUUUGAUUGGAGUACCGGCGAUAGUUCAGUCAAACUCCGCAGAAGUAGAACAGAAUGAACAGACAACAAUGAAUAGACAAUGGUUGGAUGAAAAUGGGUUUGAAUCGCGAGUAAAAGGAAGGGGCUUUUUGAUUCGCGGGUGGGCAACACAAGUUCUGAUCCUAUCGCACCGAGCCGCAGGUUUUGCAGCUUUUGGACAGAACUCUCUUGGAAGGUUGCUGUUUCAUAUGGCGAUUUACCUAGAGUUGCAACAAAAUUCAGUGAUCACCUAAAGGCACUCUUUUUUUCUCUAAAACACUCAUUUAUGCAAAAAAUUCUGAAUUAAUCGUUUUAACUCGUUUUCUUUAUAACCUGGUCACUUAGCUUCUUCCUUAUAGAUUUUGAAUCCUUCGACAUGUUUUCAAAGUCCAAUAUCGUCCAUUGUAAUCGCUUCCCAACUAUAAAAACGAUAAAACGAUCCAAAUAUGUAAACGAAUUCUGUAAGCGAUCCAACACUUUAUACUUAUCUUGGUUCAUAUUGUGAAGCUUUCCAUA